rnacentral:lncRNA from 1 species
GUGGUAAUAUGGGACAGGCUGGGGGAUUUCUGAAUGCAACCCCACACCCGUGUGUGGGAGUUUGAGAAGAGAGGGCACAUAAAUGGGGGGAUUUGGGGCUUACUGAGGAAGAGAUGACACGUAAACGUGGGUAUUUAGGUGGGAAUGUGGGUCUUAUUGAGGAAGAGACGAUGUAAAUGUGGGGAUUUGGGUCUUAUUUAGGAAGAGGAGACACAAAUGUGGAUAUUUAGGUGGGAAUUUUGGGUCUUACGAGGAGACGAUGCAAAGAUGUGAAAAUUUAGGUGGGAAUUUGGGUGUUAUUUAGGAAGAGAACACACAAAUGUGGGAAUUUGGGUCUUAUUCAUGAAGAGAAGAUACACAAAUGUGGAUAUUUAGGUGAGAAUUUGGGUCCUGUUUAUGAAGAGAGGACACACACGUGUGGGAAUUUGGGUCUGUUUGUGAGGAGAGGGUACGAAAAUGUGGGAAUUGGGGCCUUUUUUAGGAAGAGGACACACAGAUGUGGGUAUUUAGGUGGAAAUUUGGGCCUUGUUUAUGAAGAGAUGACACAUAGAUGUGGGAAUUUGGGUCUUAUGAAGAGAGGAUACACAAAUGUGGAUAUUUAGGUGGAAAUUUGGGUCUUGUUUAGGAAGAUAGAGAAAUUUGGGUAUUUAGGUGGGAAUUUGGGUCUUAUUGAGGAAGAGAUAACACAUAAAUGUGGGAAUUUGGGUCUUUUUGUGAGGAGAGGGUACAAAGAUGUGGGAAUUUGGGGUCUUAUGAAGAGAAAAUAAACAAAUUUGGGUAUUUAGGUGGAAAUUUGGGUCUUGCUUAUGAAGAGAAUGCAUAAAUGUGGGAAUUUGGGUUGUAUUUAUGAAGAGAAGGUACACAAAUGUGGAUAUUUAGGUGGAAAUUUGGGUCUUGUUUAGGGAGAUACAGAAAUUUGGGUAUUUAGGUGGGAAUUUGGGUCUUAUUGAGGAAGAGACAACACAUAAAUGUGCGAAUUGGGGUCUUUUUGUGAGGAGAGGGUACAAAAAUGUGGGAAUUUGGGUCUUAUGAAGAGAAAAUACACAAAUGUGGGUGUUUAGGUGGGAAUUUGGGUGUUAUUUAGGAAGA